CUCAUCUCUCCCAUUGAGACAACAAGCAGGCUUGGUUCCUACUUCAAAGAAACUGAAAUAAAUCCCACAACCUCAGCAUUCCUCUCCUGUGAGACAACCAAGUGUAUGUGCAGACUUCACGUGGGCCCUCUGUGUCACCCCGGAGAGACUCAGAGACAAAGGGAACCAAGACAAACAGGCUAACUUUCCUUGGAAGAAGGGAAUAAUCAAGUCACAAGUCCAACAGUUUUGGUGAUGGAGACGUGGCUUCCUGGAAGAGGCAGAACUGUAGUGGCCAGUCUGGGUGGAAAGACAGAAAAGCAUCUGGAAUCCAGUUAUGAAAACUCUUCCCCUAGACAUCCGCCCGUGUUUGGGGCAAGAAGAGGGAACAAGGAUCCCUGCUGUCCUACUUCUUAAUGAUGCUCAUCAUUCUGAAGGCCAGAGUCCAAAAUCAAGAUGUUGGCAGGUCUGCACUCCCUCCAGAAGCUCUGGGGUAAGAUGACCAGCUUGUGACGGCUGUUGGUAAUCCUUGGCUUUCCUUGGCUUGUAGCUACAUCUCUCUGAUCUCUACCUCUGUCUUCACGUCUUCUCAUCUCCCCUGUGUCUCUCUUCUGAAGAUACUUAUCAUUGGACUUAGGUACCCCCCCGUCAAUUCUCAAUACUCCAGAGUGAUCUCUUCAUUUCAAGAACCUUAAAUUAGUUACAUCUGCAAAGAUCCUUUUUCUAAAUAAGGUAGCAUUCACAGAUUCCUGGAAUUAGGAUGCAGAAGUCUUUUUUUUUUUUUUAACUAAUGAACUUUUAAAAUUGAAAUUUAGUUGAUUUACAAUACUGUAUUUGUUUCAGGUAUACAGCACAGUGAUUCGUAAACCAAAUAAAUCUUUUAUGUUUAAAGUA